GCUCCUGGCUAAGUGGUUAAUAUGUUAGAUUCCCAGCUAUUGACGGUCGAUUGUUAUGACGGUCAACACUGGACAUUUGGGCUAUUCCAGCGGAGUGGGUUCAAGUCCCGUCGGGAGCA